ensembl:lncRNA
UUCCACUAAGCCACGAGGCCUCUAAGCUAAGUGGUUCCCCACGUUGGCUGGACGUUGAAUUCACCUGAGGAGUCUUAAUGACUACAAAUGCCAGGGCCCCACCUAGAGAUUCAGGUUAACUGGUGUGGGGUGCGGCCUGAGCGCUGGGGUUUUGUAGAGCUCUGGUAAGUAUUCCAGAGCGCAGCCGGGGUGAGAACCGCUGCUCUAAACGUGCCUAUUCUCUUUUCUGUUCCUUGGGGUUCUGCUCUCCGCUCUAGGGGUAACGGCAAACGUCAGAUGGCCAUCUGCGCCGAGGUGUUUCCGUCCUCCUGGGCUCACAGGUGCCCUGGAAGGGGAGCGCCCCGGUCCGCCUCCAGCCUGGAGCAGGAGACCCGGUUCUACUGCCCCGGGGAGGGUGCAGGGUGCGCCCCGGAGAGCGCCAGCACCUGCUCCGGAGCGAGGCCUGUGGAUGGGGGACCCUGGUUCUGCUGCGUCCUGGCUGUGUGGCCUUGGGCAAGUGACUGCGCCUCUCUGUGAAGUUGCCUCGUACGUAAAACGUGUGAAAGUAGCAUCUAUGACACGGUUGUGAGUAUUAAACGAGCUAAUACAGACAAAGCACUUAGCACCGUGCCCGGCACCCAGCAAGCUCUCCGUGAACUUUACAACCGCUGCUGCUCUGCCAUCAUCCUUCCUGACUCACGACAGCUCCCCGCGCGGACUCCUCGCCAGCUGACCUGGACAGAGCCCCUCUCUUCCUCUUUAGCCCUCCCACAGGGCCGGGCUAUCAAUCACAGAGAGCCCCGCCCAGAGGCGGGCGCAGGACUCGAGCUGGCCAAUCAGAGUACCCCCAUCCUCUAGGACUGAACCCACCAGCUCCGGAUGGGGACAGCGAGGGUUUGCGUGCACCCAGCGAAGAGAGCGGCAGAGCAGGGAUUCAAACCCGACACCGCUCAGCUUCUGCCUUCCCCGCGCUGCUUUGCCUCCGUGUUUCCCAGGGGCGCGGGGCAGUUGGGGCAGGACCACCGGGCCUCUUUCCCGCACUAAACAGUCAGCAUCUCCAGCUCCUGCUCUAAACGCCAGGAACAACACCCACCCCGCCAGUAAUUGUGACAACUCGAAACCCCCCAUCCAGGUCCAAAUGCCCCGCCCGAGGGCCGCUGCAUCAAACCCGAAUCCUAGCGCCGUCACCCUGAACCCGCAAAAGUCCAUCCGAAGGGGGCCGGACGCCUCCAGGGAGACCUGACCCCGCCGCUGCUCUCUUCCUAUUUCUGAGUCGAAAUCCAGCUCUGGUGUAAACGCCAGCCCGACUCUAAGCACGAUCACGUUCCUGAAUCGCUUGUUAAACUCGGUACCGACCUCGCUCGCAGACCCGGUCCUGCAGAGGCCGUCCCCGAUCUGUCUUCGGCCCAUCUAGAUGGACCCCUUCACUACACAUCCUCGCCUCAGCUCGCUCCUUUUUUAAAAUGUGCUCUCCACAGCCCUUCUGACUGUACAAUUCCCACCGGCUCGCGUCCUGUUCAACAACUUUCAAGGGUUUCUCAGUGCCCACCAGUGCCCACCAGUGCCCACCGGCAUGAAAUGUCAUCUCCAGUGUGGCACGAACACAACUUUCCAGUUGUAGCCAUUAGCACCAGGUUAGACUACAAGUAACAGAAAAUCCCCAUGUCACAGUGAAUUAAACAAGAUGGGUUUGCUUUCUUCUCUCUCUCUCUCUGUCUCUCUCUCUCUCUCUCAUCAAGAAGGGUGUACCCCUCCUGUAAAGGACACUUCCCAGAAGCGGCACGCACACCUCCACUUACAUCCUGAGGGUCAGAAUUUGGCCACAUGGCUGCAAGGAAAACUGGGGUGUAUUUUUUUCUGGGUGUCCGUAUGCUCAGCUACAAAUCAGGGGUUUUAUUAUUAAGGAAGAAGAAGACAUAUUGGAGGAAAGUAGAUGCUUCUGGACCAUUCUCUCUCCUUCUCUAACCCUGAGAAGGACCUCAGUUUUGAAUCUCGUAUCAUCAGACUACACCAUUCUUUGAAGGAUUUGGUUCCUGGCUCACUGACUCUCCAGCACGUCCCUGUCCUAAUACGGGGUGAUUUCCAUGUCCAGGAAAAACCCUCCCAACGCCCAGUGUCUCGGUUCUUUGGCCUCCUUUUCUCUAAGAUCUUGCCCUCCACUUUCCUCUGCUGGGAGAUUUUCUCAUCACUUUAUCACAACUGACCGCCCAGAUUUCCACUCAAGCCCUCCCACCCUGACCCAGCCCACGCCUCGCUCCCCCACUCCCACCACCUCUCAACCUCCCCAGAAACUACGUCCACUGAGGGAUCUGUCACUUUGUCCCCUUCCCCUUAGCUUACAAAUAUGUUAUCUUCCUGGGCUUAAAAAAACAAAAACCGCCCUCUUGAAUCUACUUCCCCUGGAGAUACCGCCCCGUUUCUCUGCUCCCCUGGUCGUCCUCCGUUCCUCUGCCCCCUUUCUCUUUAAACCCUCUCCAAACAGGCUUGGACUGCCACCACCCACUCCUCCAAAACCGCCCUUGGCUGUGUCACCGUCAACCUCCGCGGUACGCACACAGACCAGCCACCUUGCCUCGCUCGCAGAUGCUGGCCGAGCCAGGCAGCCGGGCUUGGUGUCUGUGCUCAGGAUGCUGUGCUCCACUCUUAGGACUGUCUGCUCUCGCUCAGCGGUGCCAGACGCGGUUGCUCGCUCCCUCCUCCCUCUCUGGCUCCUUCUCAGGCUCCUUUGCUGGUCCCUCCUCACCUCCGGGGACAUCCUAAUAGUGCGGUGCCCCCUCCUCUGCGGUCCCCUCCCCCUCCCUCCUUCCCUCGGCCGGCCGUCUCAGCUGUUUACGGGCUCAUGACUCCUGGCUUUGUAUCUCUAGCCCACACCUUGCAUCCAGCUGCCCGAGGGACGUCACACCUGGAUGUCCAAUUGGCCCUUUAAACCAAAUGCCCGACACCGGACCCCUGAGCUUCCUCUCCGCAGUCCUCCUCGUCCCGGUUAAUGGGACCUGAAAGCAAAGCCUGGGUGUCACCCGGACCCCUCACCCCCUACACCCUAGCCUGUUGUGUCCACCACCUUAUCAUCCGGCCCCUGCAGCAGCCUCCUCGCUGGCCUGCUCGCCUCCCCAGCCCUCCUAAAUCUGCUCUCCACACAAACGCCACAGUGAUCACAUUAAAACUUGCUCAGAACCCUCCCAUGCUCCCCAGUUCUCACCAAGCAGGACCCAACAUUACCUUAACCCCUGGCUCCCCAGCCCCCAUCGCACCCCCAGUACUUCCAUGGCCUUGUCCACUACUCUCCCCCUCACUCACUCUGUUCCAGCUUUGCUAUUCUGCAAAUGUGGCAGAGCACGCUCCUACCUCAGGGCCUUUGCACUUGCUGUUCCAUCUGCCUGGAAUGCUC